ensembl:lncRNA
AGCGGGAGCGUUUGUUUGGACGGUGGGGUCGCUAAAUCACGGUGACUGAUGCCGGGGGGAGCGCUGCUUCAGGUUGGUGUUGUGAGUGAGUAGGCUACGGUUAGUGAGUGAGAGGAGACAGCAUGAGUUAAAAUCUUCUUAUUUUUUUAUUACCAUACAAUUGUGGGAUUAAGAAAAACCGUUGCAUUUGAAAAAGAAAUUACCAAAAAAAACAAAAUGCUUAAAUCAAUGAAUUGGCGUACAUCAGAAUAAAAAGUAUCAAUAAUAAUAAUUAAUAUAUCCAACUAAAUUAUUAAGCCAAUUAUUUAAGGACGAAAAAUUAACAUAAAAAAAAUACAAAAAUUAAAAAGUAGAACGAUUUACAUUAGAGCCUUAGCAUUAGGAUAUAAAUAACAUGAAACGUCAGAGGAAAGUUCUGUCUGUGCAUUUUGUCCUGUAAAUAAAGUUUAUACUGAACCUUCGGUCCUCGGACCACAAUCAAAAUUCCCGGUUUCCCCGGUAGAUCCAGCCGUACAUUAGGACACGACCCCUCGUUAUCAGGUCACCAUACCCUAAAGCCCUUCAACCACGAAGGAGACACUGAGCCACACCACGACCCCCACCGCACACAGAAACCUACGACUAGGGUCUCUGGACCCCCCCCACGGCACCGCUGCCCGGGCACCACAAAGGCAACAUUCACCGUCGCUGGGGGGUGGGGGUGGGAGGUGCUGCAGAUAUAAGAAGGAGGAGCAUGCAUCACGGACAGGAGGUAGGGCAGAACAGGAAGUAGGGCGGGACCGCACCGUAGUCACGACAACAACACGCACGGCACGCUACCGAAGAGAGUAUAAAACCAGCCGUGGAACGAGGAUGAACGAAGGGGUACGUCACGCACAAGGAAGGCCGCACUCUCCUCUCUAACGAGGAGAACAAAUCUCUGCACGGGCCGAGGAAAGUAGAAGACUUAAGUUAAUACACGAGUAGCAAAUACAUGGAGAGGGUCGAUAAUCAUACUGUACAUACAUACGAGUCAGAUCGUUAGUUCAUGGGGAGCAGAUUGUUGGUACGCAGUUGUAAAGAGUGUCGGUGGUUUUGGUGGUGGUGUCGUCCGGGGUGGUGUUUCGACAAAGUCCUCACAAGCCACCAGAAGUGUGUGUGUGUGAAGCGGGUCCCCAGAAACACGCGCUCCCCGCCCACUGGGUUCCUGCAGGACGGAGGGAGAGAGCGUUAGUGUGAGUGUUGGAGCGCAGCCUGGCCUGGUGGGACCGCCACCCAGCACGAGGCCUCUCACUCUACAAAACACACACUGCCUUCACCCGGGAAACAUUAACCCUACGUUCAGAGACAGACAGACAGACACUUUUCUGUUAGUGCUAGCCGUAGUGAAAAGUGCUCAUUAAUUAAUUGUAUUGUUGAAUUAUACAACAAUACAACAUAUUUGAAAUCUAAUCUUCUUCGCUUUUUCCAAGAAAUGCAUUAUGUUCUGGAUUUUCAUCGACUUCGUUGUCAUCCUUGCUGCCCAGUUGGAACACAACUCAACCGUCUCCUGACAUCCCCAGGUACAUCCCCAGGUACAUCCCCAGGUAUAAUCAGGAUAGCAGCGCCCCGGUCUGUACAGCGUCCUCCACACCUAGCUCUGCAGUGCGGCCAUCAGACAGCACUCAGUGGUGAAAUAUUGUCCUGUCGAGCGAGUCUCCCAAAGCGCUGAACAUCCUCUCCAACCAGCCGGCUGCAGCCGUCGGCUGAGGUUGUGCAGGACCGGUUUGUGAGGCGGGUCACGCAGCAGGUCGCUCUGGAGCUGGGAGGCCCGGGUUCCAGGUGUGCGUGUGUGUGUGUUCCAGCGGGGAGGGGACGGGGACGGGGGGGGGGACAGUUGGCUCGGCCUUCCAGUAAAUGACUCGUUCAGUGGGCCCCGAGGACCUCAGUGGGGUUGGAGCAGACGCCGACCCACCAGAAGCAGAUCCAUCAGUGUCGGCCGGCCU